AUGAGGAACUGUAGGGUGAGCUGGAUGCCACAGCACAGUUCUGCUGCUGUUUCUGGGAUCUGUCCACCUCAGGAGGGACCAUGGAGCUCAUAUAGCCUUUGGCCUGAGCCCCCAUUACUGAGAGAAAAGGAGGCUGUUGCCAAGGACUCCAGGGGAGUGGAUUCUACUCUGGUCCAGACCCAAGGCACCCAGCCCUCCUGGAGACAUUGUGUGAGCUGGGCUGGGCCUCCAGACACAGCCCCUGCCGCCCCACCCCAGCCAGGGUGGUGCUUGUGUGGGAAGGACUUUAAGUCCAGCCGCCAGACCCCUGAUCGGGAGAGGCAGAGAGGGCUGGCCACUAUGCACAGCUCCUGCAGCCCGUGGGUGAUGCUGCCCCAGCUGCCACUGCUGCUCCUGUUGCUUCUGCUGCUGCUGACUGCCACUGGCCCCGCCACAGCCCUCACAGAGGACGAGAAGCAAACCAUGGUGGAGCUUCACAACCACUACCGCGCCCAGGUGUCCCCGCCAGCCUCAGACAUGCUGCAGAUGAGGUGGGACGACGAGCUGGCCGCCUUCGCCAAGGCCUACGCUCAGAAGUGCGUGUGGGGACACAACAAGGAGCGCGGGCGGCGCGGAGAGAACCUGUUUGCCAUCACGGACGAGGGCAUGGAUGUACCGCUGGCCGUGGGGAACUGGCACGAGGAGCAUGAAUAUUACAAUCUCAGCACAGCCACCUGUGAUCCGGGCCAGAUGUGCGGCCACUACACUCAGGUAGUGUGGAGCAAAACUGAGAGAAUCGGCUGUGGUUCCCACUUCUGCGAGACGCUCCAGGGAGUGGAGGAAGCUAACAUCCAUUUGCUGGUGUGCAACUAUGAGCCCCCGGGGAACGUGAAGGGCCGGAAGCCCUACCAGGAGGGGACGCCUUGCUCCCAGUGCCCUCUUGGCUACAGCUGCGUGAACUCUCUCUGUGAGCCGGAGAGAAAACCGGAAAAAGCGCAGGAUUCGCCUCCAAGGGUGACUGAAGUCCCAGGCUCCAGGGAAACCGGUAUUCCAUCCCUAGCAACCUCUGAAUCUCUACAUUUCUCCUCGGUAACAAAGGUCUCGGACUCCCUGGCAACCGAGCCCUCACCUGCGGUAGAAACAAAGGCCCCACCUUCCUUAGCAACCGAAGGCCCCUCCUCCAUGGCAACAGAGGCUCAGUCUUUUCUAACUGAGGUCCCCUCGGUUUCUGCAACGCACAUCCAGCCUUCACUGGAUGAAGGGCCAGUUAACUUCCUCACAUCAACACACAUCCCUGUCCCCAAAUCUACGGACAAAGAAGCCAGCAGCAAGUCGAGAGCAGCCUCCGUGAGCCCAGAGAAAUCUCUGUACCCCAAGAUGUCCCCGACAGAGACAGGAGAGUCCCCACCCCAAAUCCAGGAGGAGGCUGAGCCCAAGGCCGAGUUGCCUGAGCGGGAGGACGAGUUGCCCGAGGCAGAGGUCGAAUUGCCUGAGGCAGAGGCCGAGUUGCCAGAGGCCAAGGCCGAGUUGCCUGUUUCCAGUGAGGCUUUGGUCCCAGUUCUUCCAGCUCAGGAGCGCGGUGGGCCGAAGGCCUCACUGGAACACUCCAGCUACCCUGUCCCCACAUAUCUGCCCAACUUCCCUAGUGCCUCGGGCAAUGCCACAGGUGGGCGCACCCUGGCCCUACAAUCAUCCCGGACAGGUAAGGCCCCAAGUCCUCAUCGUCCUUCCUGGCUCCAGAAUGCUGGUAUCCGGUGCUGGAACCAGUGGUUGGAGCAUGGUAAAGCAUGCGCCAUCUGGAAGAUGCUUCCUCCCUGCCUGCUGCCUGCACCCUGCAUGGAGUGAGUGGAGAGACAGGCUAAGCUGUUUUCCAGCUGAGGUACAGCACCUUCCUUUCUGCAGGUGCAGAGGACCCUGAAAAGGCCAGCUGGGAUUCGAAGAACUCUGCUCCUGUGUGGGGCCCUUUCCCGGGACUGCUGCUGCCUCUCCUGCUGUUGGCUGGCAUAUUCUGAGGGGGACACUCAAAGGCCUGGGAGAAGAGCUCAGAUGCCCAACUGCUGUGUUCUCCUAUCCUGUCCCUCAAGCAAGAUAUCACCCCUGGCUAAAGCCCCUCUGGAAGGGAAAGGCUGUGGGCUCAUCAGUAACUGCACACCGGGGCCCUUCCUGCCCCUCACAGUGGAGUUCUACGGAGGACAUGAUUCUGAUGAUACUUGUCUGCUCCACGGGGUGGGGUGGGGCGGGUGGGCUGCUGUCUGCCUGCAGGCUCUAGGGCUCCCCAUCUCCAAGUGGUGCCCAUUGGCUUGGACAGCAGGGACUCGGGGUAGGUAAAGAACAAGCCCCAACCAAAGUGGGGUUCUGUGGGUGGGGAGGCGGGGAGCAGGGAACGAAGAGAGGCAGCUUUGACUCCUGAAUAAAGCCUGUCUGAGA